rnacentral:rRNA from 1 species
AGAGUUUGAUCCUGGCUCAGAUUGAACGCUGGCGGCAUGCCUUACACAUGCAAGUCGAACGGUAACGCGGGGCAACCUGGCGACGAGUGGCGAACGGGUGAGUAAUACAUCGGAACGUGCCCAGUAGUGGGGGAUAGCCCGGCGAAAGCCGGAUUAAUACCGCAUACGACCUACGGGUGAAAGCGGGGGACCGCAAGGCCUCGCGCUAUUGGAGCGGCCGAUGUCAGAUUAGGUAGUUGGUGGGGUAAAGGCCUACCAAGCCGACGAUCUGUAGCUGGUCUGAGAGGACGACCAGCCACACUGGGACUGAGACACGGCCCAGACUCCUACGGGAGGCAGCAGUGGGGGAAUUUUGGACAAUGGGGGCAACCCUGAUCCAGCCAUGCCGCGUGCGGGAAGAAGGCCUUCGGGUUGUAAACCGCUUUUGUCAGGGAAGAAACGGUCUGGCCUAAUACACCGGACUAAUGACGGUACCUGAAGAAUAAGCACCGGCUAACUACGUGCCAGCAGCCGCGGUAAUACGUAGGGUGCAAGCGUUAAUCGGAAUUACUGGGCGUAAAGCGUGCGCAGGCGGCCAUGUAAGACAGAUGUGAAAUCCCCGGGCUUAACCUGGGAACUGCAUUUGUGACUGCAUGGCUCGAGUGCGGCAGAGGGGGAUGGAAUUCCGCGUGUAGCAGUGAAAUGCGUAGAUAUGCGGAGGAACACCGAUGGCGAAGGCAAUCCCCUGGGCCUGCACUGACGCUCAUGCACGAAAGCGUGGGGAGCAAACAGGAUUAGAUACCCUAGUAGUCC